rnacentral:pre_miRNA from 1 species
UACAUACUCCCUCCGUCCCAAAAAGCUUGUCUUGCAUUUGUUAGAUACUAAUGUAUCCACACAUAUUUUAGUGUUAGAUACAUCUCUAUCUAGAUAAAUCUAAGGCAAGUUUUUUUGGACGAAGUAAUAGUAUUAU